GUUCAGAAAUGUGGGUUUGCACCUCUCUCACUUUCUCUCUCUAAGAUUCUCCUACUUGAGGUGAAGAAUUGGUGUUCUAAGCUCAAUUUCUUCUCCUUCUUUGAUGAUAGCUGUAUUGGAGGGCUUUGGAGUUGUUGUAGAAGGGUGAAGAAGGUGUUUUGGGAAGUGUUUCGCAGCCCUGGCAAAGCAAGUAGCUGAAUGGAGGCUUGAUAAGCUGGUUGAGAAGGAGGAUUAGCAGCUGUAGCAGGGUAUUUUGUUGUACCCUAACUCAGUUGGAGCUGAGCUAAUGGUCUAAGAAGCAGGUUCGCAGCAGAGGAUGUGAACCCUGCAGCUAGGUUUUGGUGACUUUUGAAGCAGAGCUUGGAGGUGAUUCUUCGACCCUGAGCUAAGGGAAAGCUGGAUUGAAGUUUGGAGAAGCAGGUUUAUUAACCACUUUGAGCUGAAUAUUGGGACUCUUGUGAGCUGAUUUGAGGUGCUUCAACUUGGGUUGGAGUGGAGGUUUAGCCUUUAUCUAAACCUAGGGUACUCGGAAGCUGCGGAUUGCCCUCGUUCAUGGGGUCGACAAGAGCCAUCAACUACUUGAGCCAUCCACUACAUGAGCAGCUAGGGAUCGUGGCAAGGGAGUCGCGUCUAGCUAGGUGUAGCUUGGAGUCCUGCUAGGUGAUCCUCGCUAUUUUGAGAUUUGUCGAUGAGGGUGAUAUGUACCGGUGUAUAGAGAGACUACCACAUGUGUAUAUAUAGUUCUUUUGGUGAGCUUGUGAUGUAUAUCAGUCAUAGAGAGUUGUGUUUCACAGUUUGUACCUUUACUUCCUGUUCAUGCUAGUGGAGUUUAUAUUAGUUAUGUUUCAGCUUUUAAUACAAUUGGUACA